CGGCGCGCGCAAAGGGAGGUUCCACCGAAACAAAUCCGAAUCACCUUCCUUCUCCCUGUUGGAUUCUUCUUCUUCUUUUUUUUUUGCUUCUUUUCCUUUUUUUGUGCACUUUCCUUUUUUUUAUUGCUUUCGAUCUUUUUUUUUUGACAGGGGAGGGGCGAUCGGAGUAGUGGGAUGGCGCGGCGCGGUUGUCGCGGGGAAGGUGCGGUGGGCGCGGCUGGUAGGGUUGGCGAGCAGCGGAACGGCGGCGGCGGCGAAAACUAGGGUUAGAUGAAAAACGAGAAACAAGAGAUUAAACACAAGUAACCAGCAACAAUUGAACGAGUAGGCACACAAAUUCAACAAAG
rnacentral:lncRNA from 1 species